GACGUCAGUCUCAUUUACUAUUUAGAUGUAUAAACGUUGAUUAAAGAUAUAGGUAGUUAAUCAUUGUCUGAGCUAAAACAAUGAAUUUUAAAUUACUUGUUUUUGUGGUAACAAUAUUAGUGGGAUCUAUAUCUGCAGCAUCGCUAGCGAAGGCCGAACAAAAAGACAAAGACAUUGAAAUUAUUAUCAUUCGUAUACCUCGCGAAGUUGUGUGCUUUGGUGUAGUACCUAAUGGAUCUGAAGAUGAAAACAAUGGUUGUCGUGCUACUUGCACUUUGAUGGGCAACAAAAAUAGAAGAAGAAAUUGUGUUAAUCGACACUGUAAAUGUAUAGCAAAGUGAUUGUAUUUAAUUCACUAGCACUGAGCACUAAUUAAAAGUUUAUAAAGUUUUUUAAACAAA